rnacentral:tRNA from 1 species
UCCGAUAUGGUGUAGUGGUCAACAUUCGGCACUCUCAUUGCUGGGCCCGGGGUUCGAUUCCCCGUAUCGGAA